CUUUGAUAUUAAUUAAAUCAAUGGCCAAAGAUACAAACCCUACUGCCAUACAGGUUUGGAAACAAGAACUGGACAUUGAUAUUAAUUCGAAUCAAUGGGGUUCUUCAAUGAUGGAUGUUAAGAAAAAUAUACAUUCAUUAAAUCUAUUAGAAACUCACUUUAAAGUUUUAAAUAGGUGGUACUUAGUACCAGCUAAAUUGAAUAAAAUUUAUCCUUUAGCUAACCCUAUUUGUUGGAGAUGUAAUAGUAUUAGAGGCAAUUUUAGACAUAUUUGGUGGGAUUGCCAUAAAUUAAAGAAUCUCUGGUUGAAAAU